AGAGUUUGAUCAUGGCUCAGGAUGAACGCUGGCGGCGUGCUUAACACAUGCAAGUCGAGCGGAGUAUUUAUUGGAAGGGCUUCGGUCUGGAAGAUUUAUACUUAGCGGCGGACGGGUGAGUAACGUGUGGGCAACCUGCCCUAUACAGAGGGAUAACAUUGAGAAAUCGAUGCUAAUACCUCAUAAGCUCACGAGGGGGCAUCCUCUUGUGAGAAAAGAUUUAUCGGUAUAGGAUGGGCCCGCAUCUGAUUAGCUUGUUGGCAGGGUAACGGCCUACCAAGGCGACGAUCAGUAGCCGACCUGAGAGGGUGAUCGGCCACAUUGGAACUGAGACACGGUCCAAACUCCUACGGGAGGCAGCAGUGAGGGAUAUUGCACAAUGGGGGAAACCCUGAUGCAGCAACGCCGCGUGAAGGAAGAAGUAAUUCGUUAUGUAAACUUCUAUCGACAGGGACGAAUAAUGACGGUACCUGAGUAAGAAGCCCCGGCUAAAUACGUGCCAGCAGCCGCGGUAAUACGUAUGGGGCAAGCGUUAUCCGGAUUUACUGGGUGUAAAGGGUGAGUAGGCGGUGAGGCAAGUCAUAUGUGAAAUUUCGGGGCUUAACCCCGAAACUGCAUAAGAAACUGCCUGACUAGAGUGCAGGAGAGGUAAGCGGAAUUCCCAGUGUAGCGGUGAAAUGCGUAGAUAUUGGGAGGAACACCGGUGGCGAAGGCGGCUUACUGGACUGAAACUGACGCUGAGUCACGAAAGCGUGGGGAGCAAACAGGAUUAGAUACCCUGGUAGUCCACGCCGUAAACG
rnacentral:rRNA from 1 species